rnacentral:tRNA from 1 species
GCCCCCAUCGUCUAGGGGCCUAGGACGUCGCCUUUUCAAGGCGCAAACGGGGAUUCGAAUUCCCCUGGGGGU